GGGUAGGGGAGCUUCCCAUACGGGUUGAAGCAUGACCGUAAGGACAUGUGGACAGUAUGGGAGUGAGAAUGUUGGCAUGAGUAGCGAGAUGUGGGUGGGAAUCCCACAGGCCGUAAACCCAAGGUUUCCAGGGGAAGGUUCGUCCACCCUGGGUUAGUCGGGACCUAAGCUGAGGCCGAAAGGCGUAGGUGAUGGACAACAGGUUGAUAUUCCUGUACUACCGAU
rnacentral:rRNA from 1 species